rnacentral:rRNA from 1 species
UACGUAGGGGGCAAGCGUUGUCCGGAAUCAUUGGGCGUAAAGCGAGCGUAGGCGGCCCGAUAAGUCUGCUGUAAAAGUCAACGGCUCAACCGUUGAAAGCCGGUGGAUACUGUCGGGCUAGAGUUCGGAAGAGGCAAGUGGAAUUCCUGGUGUAGCGGUGGAAUGCGCAGAUAUCAGGAGGAACACCUAUAGCGAAGGCAGCUUGCUGGGACGAAACUGACGCUAAGGCUCGAAAGCGUGGGGAGCAAACAGG